GACGAACGCUGGCGGCGUGCUUAACACAUGCAAGUCGAGCGGUAAGGCCCUUUCGGGGGUACGACGAGCGGCGAACGGGUGAGUAACACGUGGGUGACCUGCCCUCAGCUCUGGGAUAAGCCUGAGAAACCGGGUCUAAUACCGGAUAUGACUCCAUGACGCAUGUUGUGGGGUGGGAAAGCCUUGUGCGGCUGAGGAUGGGCCCGCGGCCUAUCAGCUUGUU
rnacentral:rRNA from 1 species